GCUAAACGCGAAGAACCUUACCUGGCCUUGACAUGUCCGGAACUCUGCAGAGAUGCGGAAGUGCCUUCGGGAAUCGGAACACAGGUGCUGCAUGGCUGUCGUCAGCUCGUGUCGUGAGAUGUUGGGUUAAGUCCCGCAACGAGCGCAACCCUUGUCCUUAGUUGCCAGCGAGUAAUGUCGGGAACUCUAAGGAGACUGCCGGUGACAAACCGGAGGAAGGUGGGGAUGACGUCAAGUCCUCAUGGCCCUUACGGCCAGGGCUACACACGUACUACAAUGGUCGGUACAGAGGGUUGCCAAACCGCAAGGUGGAGCCAAUCCCAGAAAGCCGAUCCCAGUCCGGAUCGGAGUCUGCAACUCGACUCCGUGAAGUCGGAAUCGCUAGUAAUCGCGGAUCAGCUAUGCCGCGGUGAAUACGUUCCCGGGUCUUGUACACACCG
rnacentral:rRNA from 1 species